rfam:Ictidomys tridecemlineatus contig047357, whole genome shotgun sequence.
GGGGUUGUAGCUCAGGGGUAGAGCACUUGCCUCACAUAUGUGAGGCCCUGGGUUCAAUCCCCAGCAUCAAUA